UACAGAGGUGGCAAGCGUUGUUCGGAAUUACUGGGCGUAAAGGGCGCGUAGGCGGCCUUCUAAGUCAGACGUGAAAUCCCCCGGCUUAACCUGGGAACUGCGUCUGAUACUGGAAGGCUUGAGUGCGGGAGAGGGAUGUGGAAUUCCAGGUGUAGCGGUGAAAUGCGUAGAUAUCUGGAGGAACCCCGGUUGCGAAGGCGGCAUCCUGGACCGACACUGACGCUGAGGCGCGAAAGCUAGGGUAGCAAACGGG
rnacentral:rRNA from 1 species